rnacentral:rRNA from 1 species
AACGAACGCUGGCGGCAUGCCUAACACAUGCAAGUCGAACGAAACCUUCGGGUCUAGUGGCGCACGGCUGCGUACCGCGUGGGAACCUGCCCUUAGGUUCGGUAUAACUCCCCGAAAGGGGUGCUCAUACCGGUUAAUGUCUUCGGACCAAAGAUUUAUCGCCUUUGGAUGGGCCCGCGUUGGUUUAGCUAGUUGGUAGGGUAAAAGCCUACCAAGGCGACGAUCCAUAGCUGGUCUGAGAGGAUGAUCAGCCACACUGGGACUGAGACACGGCCCAGACUCCUACGGGAGGCAGCAGUGGGGAAUAUUGGACAAUGGGCGAAAGCCUGAUCCAGCAAUGCCGCGUGAGUGAUGAAGGCCUUAGGGUUGUAAAGCUCUUUUACCCGGGAUGAUAAUGACAGUACCGGGAGAAUAAGCUCCGGCUAACUCCGUG